rnacentral:rRNA from 1 species
AUUGAACGCUGGCGGCAGGCCUAACACAUGCAAGUCGAGCGAUCGGCGGACGGGUGAGUAAUGUCUGGGAAACUGCCUGAUGGAGGGGGAAAACUACGGGAAACGGUAGCUAAUACCGCAUACCAUCAGCAGUGCCCAGAUGGGAUUAGCUGGUAGGAGGGGUAACGGCUCACCUAGGCGAAGAUCCCUAGCUGGUCUGAGAGGCUGACCAGCCACACUUGAACUGAGACACGGUCCAGCUUCCUCCGGGAGGCAGCAGUGGGGAAUAUUGCACAAUGGGCGCAAGCCUGAUGCAGCCAUGCCGCGUGUGUGAAGAAGGCCUUCGGGUUGUAAAGCACUUUCAGCGGGGAGGCGUUACCCGCAGAAGAAGCACCGGCUAACUCCGUGCCAGCAGCCGCGGUAAUUC